AUUCUAGAAUGUGGCAGUAAGGGUGUGGGAAGAAACAGUUUCUCCAUGGCUGGUUCACGGGGGAGCCCUGGCUAAAGGGCUAGUUCUGGGAAUCCAUGCAGUGGCACAGGGGUCACACUACUAUGCACACGGUGGCUGCGGAACUGGCGGGUGAGAGAGAUUUGUCCUGACCGUGGGCCAGGCAGGACUGGAGAAAACUUCAGCUAUACAACCCACCCAGCCUCAUUAAGCCCUUAGAGGGACGAGGACGGGAACAUCAAAGUGCAUGUUCCUGUGAAGAGGCCCUUCACCAGAGCUGAGUGAGAGCCAGUGCUGUGCUCUUGGUCUUGAAGAUGUGUGAACCAAAUAAAC